GGACCUUUAGCUCAGCUGGUUAGAGCACGUGACUCAUAAUCUCGGGGUCGCAGGUUCAAGCCCUGCAAGGUCCACCA
rnacentral:tRNA from 1 species